rnacentral:tRNA from 1 species
GGGGUAUUAGCUCAGAUGGUAGAGUGCUUGCUUUGCAUGCAAGAGGCAGUGGGAUCGAUACCUGCAUCCUUCA